GGGGAUUUAGCUCAGCGGUAGAGAGCGCUUGCCUAGCAAGUGCAAGGCCCUGGGUUCGGUCCCCAGCUCCA
rnacentral:tRNA from 1 species